rnacentral:tRNA from 1 species
GCAAGUGUGGUGGAAUAGGUAGACACGCAGGCUUGAGGGGCUUGUGAUUUAUAUCGUAAGGGUUCAAGUCCCUUCACUUGCACCA